UCCUACGGGGGGAGAGCAGUGGGGAAUAUUGCACAAUGGGCGCAAGCCUGAUGCAGCGACGCCGCGUGAGGGAUGACGGCCUUCGGGUUGUAAACCUCUUUCACCAGGGACGAAGCGCAAGUGACGGUACCUGGAGAAGAAGCACCGGCCAACUACGUGCCAGCAGCCGCGGUAAUACGUAGGGUGCGAGCGUUGUCCGGAAUUACUGGGCGUAAAGAGCUCGUAGGCGGUUUGUCGCGUCGUCUGUGAAAUUCUGCAACUCAAUUGUAGGCGUGCAGGCGAUACGGGCAGACUUGAGUACUACAGGGGAGACUGGAAUUCCUGGUGUAGCGGUGAAAUGCGCAGAUAUCAGGAGGAACACCGGUGGCGAAGGCGGGUCUCUGGGUAGUAACUGACGCUGAGGAGCGAAAGCGUGGGUAGCGAACAGGAUUAGAUACCCUGGUAGUCCGCGCCGUAAACGGUGGGUACUAGGUGUGGGGCUCAUUUCACGAGUUCCGUGCCGUAGCUAACGCAUUAAGUACCCCGCCUGGGAGAC
rnacentral:rRNA from 1 species